CCUACGGGUGGCAGCAGUAGGGAAUAUUGCUCAAUGGGGGAAACCCUGAAGCAGCAACGCCGCGUGGAGGAUGAAGGUUUUAGGAUUGUAAACUCCUUUUGUGAGAGAAGAUAAUGACGGUAUCUCACGAAUAAGCACCGGCUAACUCCGUGCCAGCAGCCGCGGUAAUUCAGAGGGUGCAAGCGUUACUCGGAAUCACUGGGCGUAAAGAGUGCGCAGGCGGGCUUGUAAGUCAGAUGUGAAAUCCUGUAGCUUAACUACAGGACAGCAUUUGAUACUAUGAGUCUCGAGUGUGGGAGAGGUAGGUGGAAUGCGUGGUGUAGGGGUAAAAUCCGUAGAUAUCGAGAGGAAUACUCAUUGCGAAGGCGGCCUGCUGGACUGCAACUGACGUUGAGGCCCGAAAGCGUGGGGAGCAAACAGGAUUAGAUACCCUGGUAGUC
rnacentral:rRNA from 1 species